rnacentral:misc_RNA from 1 species
GGGUGGUCCAAUGUCAAACAUCGACCUUUGAUUAAUGUUAUCGCAACUAACAGUCGAGGAGCUAUGUUCAUGUAUGCUAAUGACUUUUCAGGCAUCGAAAAAACAGGUUAUAAUGUUAUAUAUAUCUUCGGAUGUCAAUUAUUUUUGUUGAAAAUUGAGCAUUAAAUUAUAGUAAAAUUAUUCUAAAACGUUUUUUUUUUUUUUUUUUU